rnacentral:tRNA from 1 species
GGUGGUGUCUCAGUGGUAGAGUGCUUGCCUACCAUGUGUGAGGCACUGGGUUCGAUUCUCAGCACACCA